CGAUCUCCUGACCUCGUGAUCCGCCUGCCUCAGCCUCCCAAAGUGCUGGGAUUACAGGUGUGAGCCACCGCGCCUGGUCAGAAUAUUGAGUCUUAUUGGAACAUGUGUUGAGCUCUAUGAUUUGUAUUGGGUGAUUGUACUGGACUAUAUAGGAAGGCAUCACCAUAACGGAUAGUUAGGCAUUAACACAGCUAGAGUUGAUGAUCAGGGUUUCAAAACCUGGGAUUAAAAAAUACCUGUGUGCUAGUGAUUUAUUUUUUAACUUGUUUUUCAGUGUGGUUUGUAGUGUUACUGAUUUGAUUUUGGCAAAUCAGCAUUUAUUAUGACUAGUCUUGAGUAUAUAAGCUCAGCUAUAGUCUGGUUCAGUGGUUAUUUAAUAAUGGACUUAGCUAAAAUCCAUUAGAAUGUUCAUACAAGGAUUAAUUUUGUAUUCUUUCUACCUCUUUAGUAAAAUAAAACAGGGUCUGUUACCUAGCUUGGAAGAUUUGCUGUUCUAUACAAUUGCGGAAGGACAAGAGAAAAUACCUGUUCAUAAAUUUAUUACAGCACUCAAAUCUACAGGAUUGCGAACGUCUGAUCCCAGGUUGAAAGAGUGUAUGGAUAUGUUAAGAUUAACUCUUCAAACAACAUCAGAUGGUGUCAUGCUAGACAAAGAUCUUUUUAAAAAGUAAAAGUUUCUGCCAAACCUUUAAUGGUGAUUUGCUAUGCUAUACGGUGAUUCUGCUUUAAAAAAAAAGUUGUAUCUUUGAAGGCCACUGCUUCCUGUGUAAUGGAAAAAAGGAGAUUUAUAAACAUCAUUUGUUUGAAGAACUUGGUACACAUUAGGUUCUAUAAUACAUCGGGCUAAGAGUGUACUUUCUUUAAAUCUGUUCCAAGGAAAUUUAGACACUAGUGUUUCCAGUUUACAGUCUCUGGAGAUUGCAUUCAGUUUGAGUAGAGUACAUCUUUCAUCCUGUCAUUGCUUAUCUUGAUCCCCAAUUCAUCUGCAUGACUUGCAGGCUUUCUCAGCAUGGUCUCUAGUUCUUUUCCACAAGGUGAUUUAGGUGACAUCAUAAAAUUGAGAGGGCUUCAGACAAACCUGUGUUCCUCACGUUACAUAUCUGCAUUGUCUGCUCCUCUCCUCUCUUCAGACGUAUUAAUACAUAGGCUUUUGGCUAUUUUCAUUUUCCUCAAGACAGUAAAGAACUAAAGGCAACUUUGGAGAUUAAAGCCUUGAUUUUGUUGAAUGAGAAUUUUUACUUUGAUGUUUCUGUAUUUGCAUAUAUUUAUUAUUUAUCUUUAUUAAUGUGUUUCUAUUAGUUUGAUUACUUAAAGAUUUAAUGGACAUGUGUGUAAUGGAUCCCAAAGAAUCAAAUAAUAUUUUAAACUACUACUAUUUAAGUGGAAACUAGUAUAAAACUGUAAAUACUACUAUAAGAUAUUGGCUUUUUCCAGACGUGGAUCCAUAAAAUUUCUGCCAUCUACUUUGAAAGUUUGUUAUGUGUGGAUGUAUUUACCUUUAUUUUGUUUUAUUUUGGGGGUUGGGUGAUUUGUUCUAGAUAUCAUCCGGACUGUUAAGUCAUCUGAAGGUAAAAGUAUUUAACUGAGGUUCUCUGAAGUUUCCUGGCAUGCUGUGAAGCACUGCUGACAGCUUGGGAUUCUUACCUUUUUACCAGGAGAUUAUUAGUUCUGUUAACUUAGCUGACCUUGAAGUGUAGACUUUAGGCCCAUGUUGCAAUUGGUGUUAGGAAUUUUAACUCUCAAGAACCUUUUUUUUUUAGGAGACAGAAAAACAUCAAUUCUAAAUUUAUUGGUAUCUUUGCAAUAAGAAUUAUUUUUCAUGUUCAUGAACCAUUUGCAAAAUAUUCUGAUUAAAGUGCUUUCUGCGGGCAUUAUUUUAUUGUAUCUGUGAAUGAAGUUGUUAGAGUAAUGGUAGGUAGAUCUGUUGAUAAUCAGUAGGGGAACUGUUUUGGAAUUUUAAGUGGAAGCAUUAUUUUAUACACUUUUAAUACUUGAAAAAAUAUUUGUGCUUUAUAAACAUGUUGCUAUGUUUAAAUAUGAAAUUUAAAACAAUUUAAAUCCUCUGAUUAUUAAGGCAGGGAACCAUAAGCAUUAUGUUUUCUACCUUCAAUUAUAUUAAGAGAGAGUAAUUACCACUGUUUUAAACACUAAUCCAAUUUUUAAAAAAUCUAUGCUUGUAAUACGGGCAGUUUCCAACUUGACAAAUGUUUUAUGGUCUAUAUGAGCAACCAGUAGAAAAGUACAAGUCUAUAGGCAUAAUUAUUUCUCUUUUUAGUUUUAGAAUGAGGUGGUUCAAAACCUCCAACUAUUAACCUUUUAAUAGUUUUCAAUCACCUGGAAAGGUGAUUGCUUCACAGAUAUUCUUUUCUCUGUUUUCAUAAGUUAUCUAGUUGCCAGAAAUAAACUUCUCCCUUCAUGUUAUAACAUGGGAUUCAUUUUUCUCCAGAGAAAUAAUUUAUAAAGGUGGGUAGGUUUGGUUGAAGCAAUGUGUUAGUAUUUUACCUAAAAUAUAUUGUAGAUUAAUAUUUCUAGACUUUAAUGGUAAUCUGA